CCAUGCAUGUCUAAGUAUAAAUAGUAUACAGUGAAACUGCGAAUGGCUCAUUAAAACAGUUAUAGUUUACUUGAUAAUUGAAUUUUACAUGGAUAACCGUGGUAAUUCUAGGGCUAAUACAUGCGGCAAGACCUGACUCUUCGGAAAGGUUGUAUUUAUUAGAUAACAAACCUCUAUCCUCACGGAUAAAGUGAUGAUUCAUAGUAACUGAUCGGAGCGCGACUAUGUUGCGCUAAAUCAUUCAAGUUUCUGCCCUAUCAGCUUUCGAUGGUAGUGUAUUGGACUACCAUGGCAGUCACGGGUAACGGGGAAUUAGGGUUCGAUUCCGGAGAGGGAGCCUGAGAAACGGCUACCACAUCUAAGGAAGGCAGCAGGCGCGUAAAUUACCCAAUCCUGAUUCAGGGAGGUAGUGACAAGAAAUAACAACUCGGAGUCUCAUGACUUGCGGGAUUGCAAUGAGAACAAUUUAAACCUCUUAGCAAGGAACAAUUGGAGGGCAAGUCUGGUGCCAGCAGCCGCGGUAAUUCCAGCUCCAAUAGCGUAUAUUAAAGUUGUUGCAGUUAAAAAGCUCGUAGUUGAACUUCUGGGCGCUUGGGAAGUGGAUCAAACCGCUUUUUAGGCGUUCAUCCGUCUGAGAACCACAUUCGAUCUUUACUGGUCGGUGUGGGAAUCAGGCACUUUACUUUGAAAAAAUUAGAGUGUUCCAGGCAGACAAUUGUCUUGAAUACACAAGCAUGGAAUAAUGGAAUAGGACUAAUAUCCAUUUUAUUGGUAUAUUGGAGUUAGUAAUGAUUAACAGGGACAGUUGGGGGCAUUAGUAUUUAAUUGUCAGAGGUGAAAUUCUUGGAUUUAUUAAAGACUAACUUAUGCGAAAGCAUUUGCCAAGGAUGUUUUCAUUAAUCAAGAACGAAAGUUAGGGGAUCAAAGACGAUCAGAUACCGUCCUAGUCUUAACUAUAAACUAUACCGACUCGGAUUCAGAUGAAUAUUAAAGUUCAUUUGGGACCGUAGGAGAAAUCAAAGUCUUUGGGUUCUGGGGGGAGUAUGGUCGCAAGGCUGAAACUUAAAGGAAUUGACGGUUUUGCACCACCAUGGAGUGGAGCCUGCGGCUUAAUUUGACUCAACACUGGGAAACUCAUCAGGGCAAGAAGAUUUUAGGAUUGACAGAUUGAGAGUUCUUUCUUGAUUGGUCUAGUGGUGGUGCAUGGCCGUUCUUAGUUGGUGGAGUGAUUUGUCUGGUUAAUUCCGUUAACGAACGAGACCUUAACCUGCUAACUAGUACUUUGAUUUUCAAUCGGAGUUACUUCUUAGAGGGACUAUGUGAUGUAAUCACAUGGAAGUUUGAGGCAAUAACAGGUCUGUGAUGCCCUUAGAUGUCCUGAGCUGCACGCGCGCUACAAUGACACAUUCAACGAGUAUUUCCUGACCCGAAAGGGCUCGGGUAAUCUUUUUAGUGUGUGUCGUGAUAGGGAUAGAUCUUUGUAAUUAUGGAUCUUGAACGAGGAAUUCCUAGUAAGCGCAUGUCAUCAGCAUGUGCUGAUUACGUCCCUGCAAAAUGUACACACCGCCCGUCGCUAUUACCGAUUGGGUGUAUAGGUGAACCUUCCUGAUAGACGCAAGUCUAGAAGUUAAGUAAACCUUGCACCUAGAUGAAAUAAAA
rnacentral:rRNA from 1 species